rnacentral:rRNA from 1 species
AUGAAGACAGCCACCAUUAACCAUCUUUCCACACAUAACCACUUCCUCACUACUAGCAUGCCAACGAAAAGGAGAAAAAUUCCAUCACCACUAGCUCGCUCGCAUGCACGCCUUCGAAAUCCAAGGUGUCCACUCAAUUCCAACUGCAGUGCUGCCGCAGAUCUGUCGGUUUCUAUAACCCCUAACCUCUGCUGCCGCACCUCUCUGUAG